rnacentral:lncRNA from 1 species
AGGGACGCCCGCGGCGGGGGCGGGCUCCCUUUGUCCUCCGGCCCUGCUUCCCGCCUCACGGCACCUCCCCUCAGGCGGGCGGCUCCCUCCAGUCACGGGAGCCUCCCGUCCCCAGGGCCGCUCCUGCCCGCUGCCCACCGGGAGGGCCAGCGUCCGGGCGCUGCCGAGGUCCCCGACCCCGCGGUGGGGAGCCAGGCCCUCCGCGGGCCCGACGGGAGUGGGCAAGGCGAGGGGCGGGAGCCGACCGCUGUUUGCUCGGCCUUUUCCCGGGGCUGGCGUUGUGGUGUUGGUUCUUUCUCUUUUGAGCACCAUCUUCUCCUUUCCUGUUAUUGUCAGUGUCACAGAGCAUGAAAACAAAAAUCCAUACUGAGGACUUCUCGCCACUGUCUUUCUGACUUACAGAGAAGGUGCCCUGUAUGUUUGGGAUGAUGUUUCCAGGGAGGUAAGGAUGUAUUUUAUUUUGGUGAAAAUGAGGGUGGGCUACAACAGGUGUAAUUCUCUUGUAACAGAGAAAUCUUGAAGGAAGUAUUUACAACUUUUGCCCGAUGAGCUGAUACAGCUGGCUAUGUUUCUGUGAAGUCCAGAGAAGAACAUGAAUAGUUGUUACAAGAAACUUCAGCUGAUGUGUUCUUAAAUGUUCCACUAAAGUAACACAGCCUUUGCUGUUUGCUAGGAAGCAAUGAGUGAAUCAUGAGGAGCCCUGCAGCCUGCUCCCCUGCUGUUCCCUGCCUUUCACCAGAUGUUGGUGAGAACAUGAAACUCUUCAGUGAGACAUCUCAAAAUUUCUUCCCCGUUUGAAGGUAGAAGUGCUGCAGCUGCAUUACUGCAUCUCCACCUGUUGCACACUUACUUGGGUCAGACAGAAAGUGGGGGCGGGAUUAAAAAGUGUGAUAAGACACCUUAAGGAGGGUCAGCCUGGAGCAGUUACUGCUCACAGCCCAGAAUGGCAGGGAGUAGACAGCGCCUAGCGCCUCUGCAGCCUUGCCUGCAGCUGGAACUGUUGAUGGCCAAAACACCCCACAAAGAAAAGACCUCAAGACCUGUUGCUCUACAUCUUAGAUCUACAUCUUACUGUUCUGUGUCUGCUCUGGCUUAUUAAACUCUUCCAAGAAAGUG